rnacentral:rRNA from 1 species
ACGAACGCUGGCGGCGUGCUUAACACAUGCAAGUCGAACGGUGACGCUGGAGCUUGCUCCAGCUGAUCAGUGGCGAACGGGUGAGUAACACGUGAGCAACCUGCCCUUGACUCUGGGAUAACCCCGGGAAACCGGAGCUAAUACCGGAUACGAACCGUACAGGCAUCUGCGCGGUUGGAAAGAUUUAUCGGUCAAGGAUGGGCUCGCGGCCUAUCAGCUUGUUGGUGGGGUAAUGGCCCACCAAGGCGACGACGGGUAGCCGGCCUGAGAGGGCGACCGGCCACACUGGGACUGAGACACGGCCCAGACUCCUACGGGAGGCAGCAGUGGGGAAUAUUGCACAAUGGGCGAAAGCCUGAUGCAGCGACGCCGCGUGAGGGACGAAGGCCUUCGGGUUGUAAACCUCUUUCAGCAGGGAAGAAGCGAAAGUGACGGUACCUGCAGAAGAAGCACCGGCUAACUACGU